AUGGGCGCAAGCCUGAUGCAGCCAUGCCGCGUGUAUGAAGAAGGCCUUCGGGUUGUAAAGCACUUUCAUCGGGGAAGAAAGGAGUAAAGUUAAUACCUUUGCUCAUUGACGUUACCCGCACAAGAAGCACCGGCUAACUCCGUGCCAGCAGCCGCGGUAAUACUNCUA
rnacentral:rRNA from 1 species